AACCACAAAGCCCAGAAUGAACAACACCAAACUACAGGUUCCUGCUCCACACUCGCUCAGAUUUCACAAUGAUUCUUCAGAGUGGCCAGUAUUGUAAAACAUCCUGCACUACUAUGAGAGGCACUGCAUGACCGAGCCAAUCUGGUACCCACCGUCAUGGCUCACUGAAGAAUAAUUACCCGCCUGUGAAGGAAAUUCAGACACUGAGUUGCGAUGAGGUAUAACACGAGUCAAGCCAACCAGUCAUUGUAAUAAGAAAAUACAUUUAUUGGAAAAGA
rnacentral:lncRNA from 1 species